UAGGGGAACUACAGCAUCAAUGGACUGUGGGAGUCCCAGAAUGCGGUCACUGGUGCUGUCCAAAGGAGAAAUGGAAUUCUGAAGAAAAGAAAUGAUGAACCCAAAACACCAAUUAAAAUACUGCAAAGCCAGAAAUGGAACUGGGAAUCUCAAUUUGCUGUGUCCCACUCAUCCACUUAUAAUAGUGCACAAUAUGGGUUCUCUGGGAGAGGCAGAGAUCUUACCACAUCAAGCACAGAAAUAACGGGACAUUGGGUUCUCAUUUUGCCUGCACCACUAAUUGCCCACGUGUUUCCAGACCACACAGCUACUUCCUGCUCCUACCGGUUUGCCAAAUUAUCAGAAUGGAAUAAUAUUACUAAGUGGAUUCAUUCAAAAGUGAUAGAUAAAUACCACUGUAAAGUCCUACAUGAAAUACUUUAUACCUAUUAAAAUAUUAAAUUGAUUAUGUAUCUUUCUUUAGCAACUAAAUAUCUUAUUAAAGGAAAAUCUGGGAAGCCAUCUGCUACCAAAAUUGUACACAAAAAUAUCCAAGCAGAGAGUUAAGCUAGAGAGUCUCUCUCUUGUUCAACUCUGUUGAGGGUCCAAGCUCAAUUCUGUGCUAACUGGGGAGGAUGCUUGCAUAGCAAAGUGAGCCCUGGUUUACAGGAAGAACUGGCAUCUCUUUGUAGAUGUGGUGAAUAAUCCUGCUGAGUCACUCUCUUUUCACACACAGCUCUCAUUGAGUUCACUAGUUCCCAGGUCUACUUUCCAAACCUGAGUCUUUAGAUGUCCCUGAAGAAACUGGCUCCCAAACUAGAACCUGUUCCCCAUUGAAGCAAUAUCUACAUUAAUAAAAGAGAAACAUGCAAAUUGACCAUAACUCUGCUAUGCCAAUCAGCCAAUCAGGAGGGAAUAUGCAAAUUAGAAGGAUAAAGAUGGCUGCCACCCAGCUACUCCAGGCAUGGAAUGGCUGGGUAGGAUGCCUGCUAUGAGAGGGAGGGCAGGGGGGAAGGGAUCUACAGAAGUGGCACUCUGGCCACAGCGAAGAUGAAGAUUGCAGACUCUGGAGUCUGCAACAAAGAUGAAGAGGGCAGACUCUGGCCAGAGUCUGCAGUGAAGCAGCGAAGAUGAAAACAGCAGACUCUGGCAGGAGUCUACAGUGAAGACAAAGGCAGCAGAUUCCGGCUAGAGAGAAGGCCUGGGUCCUGGUUGCCGGAGGAAAAAUGGUGCUGGAAGUCAAGGGAAGGAAGGCCUAUUGCACGAGUCUUCGUACAAUGGGCCUCUAGUUAAUAUAUGUCUGUUUGGGGGCGGAGGAGGAAAGAAUAGAUUACUAUCUUCUUAGCAUUUUCCAACUAACUUACACUUCCCCACACUCAUACUCCCAAUGCAUCAAUCAGUGUGUAAGAUUUAAUCCAAAAUUAGAAAUGUGACUUAGAUAAUGAAAUUAG